rnacentral:rRNA from 1 species
GAUGAACGCUGGCGGCGUGCUUAACACAUGCAAGUCGAACGAUGAAGCCCAGCUUGCUGGGUGGAUUAGUGGCGAACGGGUGAGUAACACGUGAGUAACCUGCCCUUAACUCUGGGAUAAGCCUGGGAAACUGGGUCUAAUACCGGAUAGGAGCGUCCACCGCAUGGUGGGUGUUGGAAAGAUUUAUCGGUUUUGGAUGGACUCGCGGCCUAUCAGCUUGUUGGUGAGGUAAUGGCUCACCAAGGCGACGACGGGUAGCCGGCCUGAGAGGGUGUCCGGCCACACUGGGACUGAGACACGGCCCAGACUCCUACGGGAGGCAGCAGUGGGGAAUAUUGCACAAUGGGCGCAAGCCUGAUGCAGCGACGCCGCGUGAGGGAUGACGGCCUUCGGGUUGUAAACCUCUUUCAGUAGGGAAGAAGCGAAAGUGACGGUACCUGCAGAAGAAGCACCGGCUAACUACGUG